AUUGAGCGCUGGCGGCAGGCCUAACACAUGCAAGUCGAGCGGAUGAAGGGAGCUUGCUCCUGGAUUCAGCGGCGGACGGGUGAGUAAUGCCUAGGAAUCUGCCUGGUAGUGGGGGAUAACGUCCGGAAACGGGCGCUAAUACCGCAUACGUCCUGAGGGAGAAAGUGGGGGAUCUUCGGACCUCACGCUAUCAGAUGAGCCUAGGUCGGAUUAGCUAGUUGGUGGGGUAAAGGCCUACCAAGGCGACGAUCCGUAACUGGUCUGAGAGGAUGAUCAGUCACACUGGAACUGAGACACGGUCCAGACUCCUACGGGAGGCAGCAGUGGGGAAUAUUGGACAAUGGGCGAAAGCCUGAUCCAGCCAUGCCGCGUGUGUGAAGAGGGUCUUCGGAUUGUAAAGCACUUUAAGUUGGGAGGAAGGGCAGUAAGUUAAUACCUUGCUGUUUUGACGUUACCAACAGAAUAAGCACCGGCUAACUUCGUG
rnacentral:rRNA from 1 species